rnacentral:rRNA from 1 species
AUUGAACGCUGGCGGCAUGCCUUACACAUGCAAGUCGAACGGUAACAGGUCUUCGGAUGCUGACGAGUGGCGAACGGGUGAGUAAUGCAUCGGAACGUGCCAAGUCGUGGGGGAUAACGCAGCGAAAGCUGCGCUAAUACCGCAUACGAUAUAUGGAUGAAAGCGGGGGACCGUAAGGCCUCGCGCGAUUGGAGCGGCCGGUGUCAGAUUAGGUAGUUGGUGGGGUAAAGGCCCACCAAGCCAACGAUCUGUAGCUGGUCUGAGAGGACGACCAGCCACACUGGGACUGAGACACGGCCCAGACUCCUACGGGAGGCAGCAGUGGGGAAUUUUGGACAAUGGGCGCAAGCCUGAUCCAGCAAUGCCGCGUGCAGGAAGAAGGCCUUCGGGUUGUAAACUGCUUUUGUACGGAACGAAACGGCUCUCUCUAAUACAGAGGGCUAAUGACGGUACCGUAAGAAUAAGCACCGGCUAACUACGUGCCAGCCGCCGCAGUAAAAC